CGGGAGGGAACAGGAGGGGAUUUUUGGCAAAGGGGGGAAACCUGAAGCGAGCAACGCCGCGUGAGUGAAGAAGGUUUUCGGAUCGUAAAGCUCUGUUGUCAGUCAAGAACGAGUGUGAGAGUGGAAAGUUCACACUGGGCCGGUAGCUUACCAGAAGGGGACGGUUAAUUCCUGGCCACCGGCCCCGGUAUA
rnacentral:rRNA from 1 species